AUGACUUAAGUCAUGCUAGUGAGAGCUCCACCCAUUUUUGUCCGUAUAUUUAGCUUCCCUCGCUUCAUACUAUACUUUCUUCUCUAUGUUAAAUCUGAGCAAACAGUCUAACAGAAACCAUCUUCUCAAAUAGAACAUGGUAAAGCUUCUUUUAACAAGAAACUAGAUACAUCGAUGGAUUAUUUGAAGCAACAUCUGUCCCCUUCCUCUCUCUGGAUGUCAUUUAAAUCAAGAAUUACAUCCAUAGGGAGAAAUAAGAAGCAGUUGUGCUGUCUUUAACUGGGAACUAAGAUCUAUGGAAACAAUAAUAUGGCAAUGGCAGCAAUCUGUGAGUAUGAAACACAGCCUUUGCUUGUCUGUGUAUUCCUUAUCCAACGUUGACGCACAAAUUUGAAUUCUGCUCUUCGAGAUCUCAUUGCAAAAGGUGAAUUCCAUAUCCUGCUUUGAAACAUCAUUAACCCUCAGACAAAAAUUUCCACUCUGGCUUUAACCGAAUGUUGCUUCUGACUCAUUUGUUUCAAGGAUUAGCAAAGGUCCUGAAGCGAUGUGAGAAAGUCAAAGAAAACAGUUUUGAAGCACAGCACUCAGAAACAAAGUAAGACCAAAGGAAACUGAAGCUGCCCCGUGAUGACAAGGCCAUUUCCUUACUUCCUGUGAAGCAACACACGCUGACAAGAUGAGGAAGAACCAGCAUAAACAUCACUUACUGAAGCCUCCUUCUGUCCACCCAACUAUCAGUGUAACAUCCUGGUCCCUACACUCCUAACCUCCUGCUCUGCUUUUUUUCUAAGCCCCUAUUACCCACUAGUAUGUAACUUACCUACUUAGUAUGCUAAUUAUUUAUUAUGUAACUCCUUUGAUAGCAUGUAAGUUCCUAAGAGCAAGGAUCUAUGCUGGGUUUUGUUUAUUUAACUGAUAAAUCGCAGUGCCUAGAACAGUUCCCGAAACACACAAAUGCUGCUCACUAGAUAUAUGUUGAAUAAAGGGAUAAAUGAUACUAUUUCUUUGCCAUCUUUGGAUCCUACAGUUGAAAACAUAAGGAAAGGAUUUUAGUCACUUUCCUUUUUACCUAAAAAUUAUUGCAAGCCUUCUCUCUGUGCUAAUCGUCAAUCCAAAAGAAUUUAAGAAAAUUGAUAUAAACUAGCUAGAAAAUGUGUCAUGUUAGUUAAAUUAACUUAGAAAAAAGAGACGGAGCAAAAUUUAUUUCAGCUUAACUGUUUUUUUUUUUAAAGUAUGCUUAGUAAAAUGUCUUUUUAUAAAUUA